UUACUGAGUGAGGGCCCCUCGGGGUCCAACCUCCCACCCGUGUUUAACGAACCUUGUUGCUUCGGCGGGCCCGCCUCACGGCCGCCGGGGGGCAUCCGCCCCCGGGCCCGCGCCCGCCGAAGCCACCUGUGAACGCUGUCUGAAGUAUGCAGUCUGAGACAAUUAUUAAAUUAAUUAAAACUUUCAACAACGGAUCUCUUGGUUCCGGCAUCGAUGAAGAACGCAGCGAAAUGCGAUAACUAAUGUGAAUUGCAGAAUUCAGUGAAUCAUCGAGUCUUUGAACGCACAUUGCGCCCUCUGGUAUUCCGGAGGGCAUGCCUGUCCGAGCGUCAUUGCUGCCCUCCAGCCCGGCUGGUGUGUUGGGCCCCGCCCCCCUUCCCGGGGGGGCGGGCCCGAAAGGCAGCGGCGGCACCGCGUCCGGUCCUCGAGCGUAUGGGGCUUUGUCACCCGCUCUUGUAGGCCCGGCCGGCGUCAGCCGACCCCCUCAAUCUAUUUUUUCAGGUUGACCUCGGAUCAGGUAGGGAUACCCGCUGAACUUAAGCAUAUCAAUAAGCGGAGGAAAAGAAACCAACCGGGAUUGCCCUAGUAACGGCGAGUGAAGCGGCAAGAGCUCAAAUUUGAAAGCUGGCCCCCUCGGGGUCCGCAUUGUAAUUUGCAGAGGAUGCUUCGGGAGCGGUCCCCAUCUAAGUGCCCUGGAACGGGCCGUCAUAGAGGG
rnacentral:rRNA from 1 species